rnacentral:rRNA from 1 species
UACGUAGGGGGCUAGCGUUGUCCGGAAUCAUUGGGCGUAAAGCGCGUGUAGGCGGUUCGGUAAGUCUGCUGUGAAAGUCGGGGGCUCAACCCUCGAAUGCCGGUGGAUACUGUCGGACUAGAGUGCGGAAGAGGCGAGUGGAAUUCCUGGUGUAGCGGUGAAAUGCGCAGAUAUCAGGAGGAACACCAAUUGCGAAGGCAGCUCGCUGGGACGUUACUGACGCUGAGAACGCGAAAGCGUGGGGAGCAAACAGG